AAAUAGUCAGCCCGGUUUUUGUUGGUCGCCGGUUUCUUAGAGGGACUGUCAGCGUCUAGCUGACGGAAGUUUGAGGCAAUAACAGGUCUGUGAUGCCCUUAGAUGUUUUGGGCCGCACGCGCGCUACACUGACAGAGCCAGCGAGCCUUGGCCGGAAGGUCUGGGUAAUCUUGUGAAACUCUGUCGUGCUGGGGAUAGAGCAUUGCAAUUAUUGCUCUUCAACGAGGAAUUCCUAGUAAGCGUGAGUCAUCAGCUCGCGUUGAUUACGUCCCUGCCCUU
rnacentral:rRNA from 1 species